GCACCCGUAGCUCAGCUGGAUAGAGUACUGCCCUCCGAAGGCAGGGGUCACUGGUUCGAAUCCAGUCGGGUGCGCCA
rnacentral:tRNA from 3 species